GAGGAGGGGUGUGUGUGUGUGUGUGUGUGUGUGUGUUGGGGGGGUUCCCUGAGGGUUGGUGUAUUUGUAUGAGCUUUACUCUCUCACUCAGUCACUCACUUAGUGACACACACACACUCACACACACACCCUCCAGUAGACACCCGGCAACACAGACUGGCUCACUCCUUCCUUCUCCCUCCCUCUCUCACGCACUCGCCCUGACAAAACCACCGCUCCUUCCGGAGGAACCAGACCCACAGACAAGAGAACCGAGGAGUCGAGAGCCAAGGCAGGAGCGGCGGACGAAGCAGACCACCCGCGAAGAACAGCAUCUGAAAGGGCUGCUCAGGAGCCGGAGAUUCAGACCUGAGCACGCAGGAGUCCUCAGAAAGGCUUUCUUUGGCCCCUCGUGGCAGCUGCUGAACUCUCGCCUCACCAGCCACAUGAGCCUUUCAUCAUCCUCGUUCCAGACCCACUGAUCAGAAGUUGCAUGUGGUGUGCAUGUGUGUGCAUGCGUCUGGUUUUAUCACCAACCAACAGACCCGAUUCACCGAAAAGUCAGAGAGAUCAGCCUCACACACACGUACUUUCAUGGGAGACCUCCUGCUGUAACGACAAGCAGCACCUUCUUCACACACUCCACCAUGAAGCUGCCCUCUCUCUGAGAUGAGUAAUCCGCACAAAUGGAAUGAAUUACUAAUCAGACGGUGCGCACACACACACACACACACACACACACACUUACACACGCACAUACAGCAGUGCAGACACGUGAAUAACAAAGGGGAUCAUGUAAAACAAAGCCUCUCCAGCCUCCACCCUUUUCCUGGAGGCCCACUGCUCCACAUUUUCUCAUCCAUGCCCAUUGUGCUUCCUACCUGCCACUCGCAUCGUUAGCUUGAUAAUGAACACCUGACCCUAAUUAAGUAAGCACUUUAGGGCCAUCACUGACAUUCCCUGAUGUAUGACAUGUUUAUGCUAUUGUUGGAUCAAGGGCAUAUUCAUGAUAAAUUAUCACAAAUAUAUUAAAUAUAGAAUAGAAAUUUCAAACAAAGGGUGGUAGUAGCCUAGUGGGUAACACACUCGCCUAUGAACCAGAAGACCCGGGUUCGAAUCCCACUUACUACCAUUGUGUCCCUGAGCAAGACACUUAACCCUAAGUUGCUCCAGGGAGACUGUCCCUGUAACUACUGAUUGUAAGUCGCUCUGGAUAAGGGCGUCUGAAAAAUGCUGUAAAUGUAAAUGUAAACAAUAGCCUAACAAUAACCUGAAUAUAAUAGCUGAAUGUAAGUUUCAAGAAUUUAAAGAUUGAACACAUACUAUUUAAAAAUACAUCGAAACCAGUGAUUAGCCAAUAUUACCAGCAAGUAACACAAGCUCAGGGUUGCAUGAAAAAGAUUUAAAUGAACAAAGAAUUACAGGAUGUCAAUCUGAACGAGACACAUAGAGAUAUUUUCACAGAAAAAAACUAAAUUCUGAAUUUCACCAUUCUGAAAAUAAUGCAACACACCAUGCACCACAUGCCCCGCUCAUGGCUGCCCACUGCUCACUCAGGGUGAUGGGUUAAAUGCAGAGGACAAAUUUCACUGUGUGCUGUGCUGCUGUGUAUCACGUGUGACAAUCACUUUCACAGGAUUCAGCACCAUGGACAGUAUCUGUUUAUUAUUCAGUAACUGCAUUUUAUAAUAAGGUACCUACAUAAAAUACAAAGAUUACAUGCAAUGCAUGUGUAGACAAAAAGUGUUAAUAGAUUCAUCCCUAGUCUCUUUUUUUCUUCUCAGUUCCUCACAGUUCUUCAGUUUGACAUGGUUCAGACAUGGUUCAGACUUUACUCUCUGGUUGUUUCUUGGUCUUCUUUAUUGUUUUUUUUUUCAUCCUUUGUUUGAUGCUUGUCAUGUUUAUCCUUCAUCUGUCUGUAAGUGAAAUAUGAUUCUUUGGUUUUGGUUUAACUAUCCUGCCAAUGCAUUUGACUUUGUUUCCAGAAAUGUAAUAUGCAGACAUGUAAUUGCAAGACGUCUUCAAAUUAGGCUCACGCUUCUUGAUCUCACACAGAGAGAGAUGUAGCAGCUGUCCCUGUCUUCCGUAUGGAGUCUUUACACUUCGGUGGCAGCCUGACGGUUUUGUUAGAGUGCAUGUUCUUUCCACUCGGGCAAACUGAAGUCGCAAGGAUCAUUCAAUCAGCAGAGGCAAUAAAGAGCAGGGUCUGUCUCGUAUGAGCUUCA
rnacentral:lncRNA from 1 species